UCUCACUCUUUUUUUGGUGCCUUAUUUUAUUUUCAUGUGUCGUCAUUUUUUAUUUGUAUUAUGGUCAGGGGCCUCAAAAGCUGGAAGUGGCCCAGGCCUCUCUGGACCUCUGAGAUGGCCAGGCAGCAGAUAUUUAAGAAAGUGGUCUUGUAUACAGUGUUACUGGGCCUUUGUUUUUAUAUUGAGAGACGUAUUAAGACAGGGAAUCCUUACUACAUAUCAUAUUUAAAAGUAAUAGAAUACACUUGCCAGGAAAAAUAAUAGUCAAACGCAAACUAUUUGCAGGAUUUCCUUUUCCUUUUCUUUUUGUCUUGGCAAAACGGUGUCUAAAACCUAAGAUUUUCUUCGUACAAAAAACCCAGCACACCUGUCAAAUUCUUUUGAAUAUUAACAUUUGAAGGAACAUGCCUGGUUUGAUAAAUUCGUGCAAUCAGAAUAAUAAAAUCAACAGAAACAACUCGUCCUGGAUAAUGUCAAGAGGCUCACUCGGUAAUAUGGUAACACCCUGAUACAUAGAAAGAUCCGAUGGUUAAAUUAUUGUAUAAUGUUUCUCUCAACAAAAGCUCACUGCUGUAAUGAUCAUUGUUUUGUUUCUGAUAUUUAUAUGGCAAGGAUUUGAAAAGUUGUUUAAACUAUGUAAACAAAUAGAUUAAAAAUAUGUAAACACUACGAUUUUCUUAAGAGUACAGCAAAUAUAAAGCAACAAACAUAUACCCACAAACACAAAGAAUCCAAAACACAAUAACAAACUUCACUGAGACCUAUGCCAACAUUUUCAAAUGUGGGUGCUAUUACUGGGGCAUUAAAAGUUUCAGCUAAAUCUUUUUCUUUUUCCCUAGAAAAUUGCAAUCAAAAUAGUUUUCAUUGCAAUUUUCUGUGGAAAAUUUUGACUUAAACAGGAAUGCCAAACAUUUUGAGCUAAAAACCUUUAUUUACUGGGUUUUUGUUUUUUCAGAAAAGUCAAAAUUCUCCAUGGAAAGCAGACAAUUUCCAUGAAAAAAUAUUUAGUCAAAACCCCAAUAUUCUGUAAAACAACAAACAAACAAAACAGUUCUGGCAGAAAAAAAAUUGACCAGUUCUAGUCCCAACACAGCCAGCCACCUGUUAUGAAGAUGCUGCCCCUUCAAGGAUGGGUUUUUGGGAAUGGUACAUGUGUUGAAGGGUCGUAUGUCUACAAGAUGAAAGCAAGACUUGCUAUAAAAGGAGUGGUCUACUCUCGGGAGACCAGGGCUACAGAAAUAUUUGGGGAGAGCUCUACAAAGUGGCCAAUAGGAGGCUUGGGAAGAGAGCCUGGGAGAGAUAGAGGAAGGUCUGGUGUUUCUUUUUUUUUUAAUUUAUUGCGAUUGCAUUUACACAGAUGUUCAAGUAAAGCAUAUUUGUUUAAAUGUCAACAAUUUAGUAGCUGAAGGAAGGGCAUGUGCACAUCCAUGAAGGGGAGAAGGGAUGGGCUGAUGGUGAGACCCUGCUUCUCGGAGGGCCAAGGGAAUUGUUUGUAGUGUGUACCUUAAUCAACCAUCUCCCCAGGUUUCCCCAUCCUGGUGGAGGAGCAGUUGUUACUUGAAACGUAGGGCUGUAUGUGAAUUCACCUGUGAGGCAGAGGGAACACUGAGGCACAGAUGACUAAGUGCUGGCACAGAGAUGCUGAUCAUGUCAAAGGCGACUAAAGUUAGAUACCUUAACCUGGUGGCCUGAUUUUCACAGGUGUUGAGCAGCCUCAGCUCCUGUUGACUUCAAAUGGCCAAUGACGUCAAGUGCUUCACACGUAUGAAUAUCAUGCCUCUGUUCAGAUGCCUACAUAUGAAUUUUAGGUGUGCUUAACUUUAGGCCUUCAAGUUUGAACAUUUUGACCGUAGCUUCUAAAAGAAUACCAAAGAUAUAUUUUUAUAAAAAUCUAUAUACAUUUAUUUAUAUGUACCAUAUAAAUGUUUCUCUAGACCUGUAUGAAAUUCUGAGGUUCGUAGGGAUUUCUUUAGUUCUGAUUCAAAUGGAUUCACACCUCCUGAGUUUCACUUGGAUCUUCAGGCUCCAGUAUACCUAAGCCAGUAUACCUAAACCACUAAGCUUCAGCUCAUUUCAUAUUAAAACAACACAAAUACACAUGGUGUAUUUUGCAUGUUUUUAAUCCAGAACUACUAAUUGGCCCCACUUUAUCAUUCGAGGUAUGUGUGUUGCGGGGAGGGUUACAAUAAGAAGUAGAGCCAGGAAGGGUAGCUGAUAAGAGGACUCACGUAUGACCAUACAUUUGGCCAGGGUUAUGUCUGGACGUACUCAGUGUUGUCAGCUCUUGUGACUUUGUCAUGAGUCUCAUGAUACCAGAUGCUUUUCUUAAAAUCCCAGCUUCUAAUGAUGGUGACAUCAGAAGACAAGUAAUACCUCCAAUUUAUUCUUUUUAAAACUCUCCUAAUUUUAAGACACUCAUGAAUUUUUGGGGCCUGCUUCAUGAUUUUUGAAUGCUUGGAGUUGGCAUUGAUGAGUACUCUCCCACCAAUGAGAAAACCUCUCUCUCCUCCUCCUCCUUCACCUCCUCCCUAGUCAGCUUGUGCUGAGGACACUUGCUAGCAGUCAGCCAUCCUACGAAAGCCCUCUACUUUUACAGAAUAAUAAGGAUUUUGAGGAAGCAUGUUCUCAUGGCUUCUGAUCCCCACUGGGGGGGCUUCAAGCAUUCUUUUUCUUGCAGUGGAGCAGCAAAUUAAUUAGCUAUAGCUGAAAUAGGCAGUUUGCAGUGUCCUUCAGGCCUGGAUACCACAGUAUUUUGCUGUCCUGGUGUGCUCUGUGGAGGUCCAAUAGAAGUGACAGGCUGCAGGUGGCUUGGUUUCCCCAUUCUGGUAGAAUAUGGCAGCUCCUUGGCUCAGAAUUAGAUCAAGAGCCAGGUUGCAAGGUCCUCUGUUUUGUUUAAAGGGGCUGAAAUAUCUCCUCUUCAGGUUCUUGCCUUACAAGGAUUAUUUCUUUUGGCCACACAAAGAAGUCAUUUCAUUUUCCACAUAAGCUUCCUUUAUGGAAUUCAUUAAUAGGGAAUGGGCACAAGUGGAUAAACCUUGUUCAACCUUUAGUGUCUUGCAGAGAAAAUGUUUUGUCUUCUCAGGGGAAACUGACAGGACUUGAUCUAUUCCCAGUCUGGUUGCCUCUCUCCUGGCACUCCCCAGUGAUUUCAGCUAGAAUUGUGGAUGCUCAACACCCCUGAAAAGUCAGACCCUAAGUGUUUCCUAAGGAGUUUUUUGUAUCAGAUGUUGUAUAGGGUCAAGGGAGGUAAUUGGGUAAUAAAAAUUGGAAAAUAAAAUUAACUCACACUACAGACAAACAGUACCUUUGGCCCUCUGCCAGGUUUCACAAUCAACCUCUGGACUUAGUUUUACCCAACUGGACUUAGUCCUUUCUGCCCCUCAGUGGAUUGGUCUGCUGAAGACAGCUCUUCUUUCCCUCAAGGGGCACACCUGUAGUCUACAUACCCCACAGUCUCUGUAACUCGUUUGGAUACCACCAACAUUCAGGCAUUUCUUCUGCUUGGAAGCACUUAGGUGACAGUGCUGUUGGUUCUCAAAGUGGUUCUAACCAUGACCUCUUCCUCAAAGAUUCCGCCAUCAUUCCUGGAAACAAUUUCUACCAUGGUCUUUAUACAAGGGCCCAGUUCAUGAGAGAAUAAGGAUAAUUAUGAACGCAUUCCACUCAAAUUCUUUCCUUUGUGAUGCUGCUUUAGAUAAUGUUAGGCUGGUGGCAACAGCCAUGGUUAACUCUACCUUGGAGUGUAGACCUAAGGAGACUGACUCUGAUCUCUCUUACACUGAUUUUAUAGCAGUGUACCUCCACUGACUUCAAUGGCAUGACCUCUGUUUUGUAAUGCUGUAAGGGAAUGUCUACAAAGUGCAGCAAUGCACACUACAGGGAUGUGAUUUCUAAAGCACAUUAACAUGUUGUGCACCAACUGGUCUGUGUAGACACUGCUGGUGCACACUAAAAAUUCUCUAGUGCGCUUUAAUCAAGUGCCAUUUCAAAGAGUACUAGGUAAGGUAAGAGUAGGUAAAGACUACUCACAUUUCCUACAGAACAAAAUUUUCAAAAUAAAUUCAUUUUGGAUCUGUCAAAACUUUCAGUUUCAAUAAUUUUGAAAUAUUUCAUUCUGAUUUCAACUUUUUAAAAAGUUGAUAUUUUAAUUUAUAACAUAAUAUACAAUAAACUGUAUUUUUUAACAAAAUGUCACUUUGAAAUGAAAAAUUGAAAUGCCCUAUCCUGAUAAGGUUGAAAUUGAAGUUGUUGGCCUUUUAAAAAAAAUUUUCAGAACAACAUUACACCAACGUUGUCAUAUUCUUGGGAAAAGUUUUGAUUUUGAUGACUUGGCAUUUCCAACAGAAAAAUAUUCUGUUGGCAAAUUUUUAUAUUUUUACUGAAGACCUAAAAAAUAAAAUAUGUUGAGUUUUUAUAUACUGAACACUCCCACUACCCAGGCCAUGGGGAAUAUUUGGCACAGAAAUAACUUCUGACAUUUUUUCUCCCUCUGUUAAAUCCACCGACACUUCAUUUCCUGAGCAUCUCAGAGAAUGCGUCACUCACUGACAUCAAAGAUACCAGAAACCUCAUUGCAACUGAUGAGAAAUGACCUGGAAAACCCCUCCAUCUCAUUCUUAAUGAAUACUGUGCCCAUGUUCAUUUGUCAGUGGAAACCAUCCUGAUGGUAUCUCUGCCAUCCAUUCUGCAUCACCUGAAGCAAUCCAUUGGAUCACCAGUCAAGACUUGGACAUCUAACACUGCUGUUUUUAAGCCAUAUGAAAGAAAGAAAGAAAGAAAGAAAGAAAGAAAGAAAGAAAGAAAGAAAGAAAGAAGAGCUAGUGAAUCUGUUGGUUCUAAAGGUCAGUGGAUGUUGAAGAUGUCUUGGUACAUUUGGAAAUGUGGCUAUCUACUAUGGUUUGGAGGACGUGAAUGGAAGCUAAUAACACUUAGCACUGAGGAGCUCCAAGCACCUUACAAAGCUGGGGGGAACAGAAGAGAUCUUACUUCCUUGAUGACAAGCCUGGCCUUUGAGCAGCUAAAGCAAAAGGAAAUAUUUGGUGGAAAGGCUGGAAGCAGCAUUUUCAGAGUGACAACAAUUUAAAGAAACUAUCUGGUCCAUCUUCCAGACUGUGUUUCUUCACUUUCUUUGCUGAAUUUUGUUUACCUCCUCUCCUGUGCAUCAGUGGAUGGAUGAUAUGCACAGCUCUGGUAGCAGUCUUUGGUUUUGUUAUGUUUUCCAUCAGCAAAGAGCAAACCACAUAAUUUUCAGUCAUUGUCAUUGAAGUUAAUGGAACUACAUGGAGUUACAUGAGACUUUCUUCUUACAUGUAAUCCUCAUCGUGAUAAUAAGAUGCUGAGCUGCACAUUGUCCUCUUGGGUUUAUGCCUACUAUUAAACAGGAGUGGUUUGAUGGGCAUUCAGCAGAACUCUCAUUAACGCAGGAGGGAGUUCACCUGUACACCCUCUCCCACUCUUCACAUUUUAUCUUGUGCUGACAGACAUGACAUUCUACGCACCAUGUUGUGCCAGAUCAAGCUCUGUUAUACAAUGUCCCCUGGGAACGAGAGGAAGUGACAAAUGUAACAGCUAAUAAAGGUUGUUUUCUGUAUGCUAGAUUCUCUUCACAGAUUUUAUUUAAGGUGAUGAGGCUCUGAUCUGCAUGGAAGAACCUGCAUUGGGCAAAACCUAGGCAUGUUGUCCUGAUAGUCAUUUGUCAAUUUCCUCUGCAAUUCUGUUCAAAAUCACCAUGAAAUAACUUUGCCCAUUGAAGACAAAGUCAAACACCACCAGUAAUU